GGGGAAAGAAAAGCAGAAACUAUGACUUUGUUGUUGUUCUGCUUUCUGCAAGUGGUUGUGAGGUUAUCUGUUUCCUUGUGACCUUGCUCAACAGACCGAUUGUGGUGGUCUCCCUUCAUCUCUUCUUAUUGGUCUUAUUGGUGGCUCUUAUAGUAUUACAGUGCAGUUUGUGUCUGAUGUAGCAGCACAGGUGCAGGAUUUGCCUUCCAAUUCAGUGGUGUUGGCAAGGACUACAGUUUUCAUAGGUUAUGCCCAACUGGUCUGUUGGUUUCAUCACUUGGUCUGCAAGGUGUGUUCAUUUCCCGAAUCAGGUUGAGAAGCAAACUAACUUUUUCUCAGUAGAAUUAUGUUUUCACACAGAGAGAGGAAAGCUUAUCUCAAUGAGACUGUCUCCAUAUUUGCUUGUCUGCCAGGGGGCCUUCUACCAGUGGUGCUGAAUGUGGAACAGUGGGGCUGUGCAAAGCCCUGUCUACCCACAAGCCUAC
rnacentral:lncRNA from 1 species